CGUACCGGAAAAGCGCAGGAAACUGCGUGAAACUCGCCUGUAAUCCCGGCAUCAUCACGUCAGUGAUGUGGCGACUGCCCUUGCUGCUGCGGCAGCGAUUAU
rnacentral:ncRNA from 1 species